UAUUGCGCUAUCUUUUUUUUUUCCGCUCUCGAAAUUCAUUAACCUAAAAUAUUUUCUCCUCACUUUGAAAACCCUCACCGCCGCUAGACCCACACCAAAUUUCUCGUCUGAUGAAAAACUGUCAUCACCACUUCUCCAAUCUUUACGUUUGAGUUGGUAAAGUGAAAACACCAUUGUUCCUCUGCUCUAUAAUUGAUCUGUUCAGAAUUUGGCUCCAUGUUCAUCUCUCUAUUCUCAAAACUAGUCCAAGAGGAGUUUAAUAUAUUUAUUAUUUCUUUGUGAAGCUGUGUAUUUGGGUGCUGUGGUCUUAAAAUAAGGUAUGACAUCAAGAAAUGAUGAACAUGAUUUGUCCGAAAAACCUGACUUGGACACUGAUCAUGGAAAUGAUGUUCAAAAUAGUGGACGAUGCACUAGCAACCGGACUUGGAGAGUUGAUAUUCACAAGGGAAUAUUAAAGAAAAUGAACUUAAGGUAACACAAGUUUGGAAGCUCCCUGUUGGUGAAAAGGGACUUUAAGGCCUUUCCCAUACGCUAUGAUAAUUGGUCGGUUGUGUCAAAGAUUAAAAAAGAUAAUGCAUGGGAUGAAACUAUAAAGAUUCCAUGAUUCAUACUAUCACAAGGAAAAGAGUUUUUAAGAGAAUAUCUCAAAACCUCCACUAGGAAUUCCUAAAGAUGAUUGGGCUGAGUUUCUUACAUACCGAAAUAAACGGAAGACUAAGGAUAUAUGUGAAAAAAUACAAAGAAUAGAAGCAAGCUCACUAUUAGUCACACUGGUGGAUCAAAGAAACUUAAUAGAAGAAAAUAUGAAAUGGAGGCAAAGACUAAUAAGGAAAUUAGCAUGGGAGCUCUAUAUGUUGAAACACAUAAGAAGCAUGAUGAGAUAUUUAUUAAUGAAGAAGCACAAGCUAUAUGUGAAAGAUUUAUUACAUAGAAAGUCAAGGCCCUACCUCCUCUAAGCCCUCGCAAAAUGAUUCUCUUGGACAAGUCUUAGGAGUAGAGCGUCAUGGGAGAGUUUGGGGCAUGUCUUCUGGUGUGUUUCCUUCCCAAGUUUUCGGCUCUAGAUUUGAAAGACUUUGUUGCACUGCUCCCUCCUCUUCUACUGCUGGUGCCACUGAGUUGCAGUUGCAAUUUGAGGUUGAAAAAUUACAAUCAAAAGCAGCAUCAGAUUCAUAAUUGAUGAAAGAAAUGACAAACACACUUUCUCUUCUUUCUCAGAAGAAAGAUGUGACUGUACCUCCUACAGUUUCCUUAGUUACAAGCGAAAUAUUGCUGCCAAAGCUUCAAAAUGGAGCGCAAAUGAAGCACACAAAUUAUUGACUUGUCAUUCAACAACAUGUCGGGUAGCAUUCCUGUGGAAUUUGGCCAGCUCCAAAACCUUGCGUCUCUGAUAUUGAACAUUAAUGAUCUGCAUGGGAGGAUUCAUGAUUAGCUUACUAAUUGUGUCUGUCUUUCCUCUCUGCUAAACUUCUCUUAUAAUAACUUAUCUGGAGCUAUUCCAUCUAUGAAGAACUUCUCAAGGUUUUCAGCUGACAGCUUCAUUGGAAAUCCUUUACUAUGUGGAGAUUGGGUCGGAUCAAUAUGUCAUCCUUAUACACAAAAAACAAGAGAGAUUUUUUGCAGAGUAGCAGUUGUACGUCUCAUUCUUGGCAUCUUACUGUUAUUGGCGAUGGUAAUUGUUGCUAUCUAUAGAUCCAGCGGAUUGAAGCAGUUGAUGAAAGGAACUGGCAGAACUGGGCAAGGCAUGUUGAACCAUAUCUUCAUAAUUUGUUUCAUGACUCUGAUUGUCCAAUCCCAUGGACAAUACAAGUACUUGAAACUCGCACUACAAUGGACACCAACCACCUACGCUUUAGCAAGAUCAACCCGCUUACCAUGUAAUCAAACCAAAUUUGCCCUAUUUUCACGAAACUUGGUUAUUCAUGGCCUCUGGCCUUCAAAUUUUUCUAAUCCACAACCGUGAUGGUGCGCACAGUUCCCCUAUAAUCCCAACAACCCAAUGUUUGUUGCAAUGAAGCCUCAACUUAGUGCUAAUUGGCCGGAAAUGCUCCCGCCCACUAAUGAUAUCUUCUGGGAAGAUGAAUUUAAGAAGCAUGGCACCUGCAUGACCAGCAAUCAGGCAGCCUACUUUGGCUAUACUUUACAUAUGAAGGCACAAUUCAUUCAAGAUGUGAGAGCUGCGAUAGGAUUUGCUCCCAAUAACUUUAGAAAGCGCAAGUAUCAAGUCUUUGUGGCAAGACUCCAAACAGCUUAUCAUGUUUUCCUAGAAAUUGUGUGCAAGAGGUAUCCGGGGGAAUCAGGUCGAUACUUUGGCAGAAGUGCGGUUCUACUUUGAUAAGGUGACUUUGAGACUGAUAAAUUGUUCGGCAGCCCCAAGGAUGAUUUGUGCUCGAGAUAUAUAUUUUUUAGCAUGAUUUCAAGGAUGGAGACAUGUGAAGGGGCUAGGGAGAAAGUUGAGUUGGCAUUGUUCGCGCAGAAGAAGCUAUCUGCAUUGUGGGAACUUAGAGCGCGCUAGAAAGGAUGGAAAGAGGGGCUUGCAAAAUCUCAUACUCAUUGUCAAGGGAAAGUACAUAGUUCUUAAAAGUGAUUUAAAAUGCUGGUAAUAAUAAAUCAUCUAAGCUCCCAAAUUUGUUAUUGAUAGGUAACCUGUAAUACAAAUGUUGUUGUAUUUCUAACGCUCAUUUUUUGGGCAUUGAUUCCA